rnacentral:rRNA from 1 species
UACGAAGGGGGCUAGCGUUGCUCGGAAUUACUGGGCGUAAAGGGCGCGUAGGCGGCACUGUUAGUCAGGCGUGAAAGUCCUGGGCUCAACCUGGGAACUGCGCUUGAUACGGCAGAGCUAGAGGAUGGAAGAGGGUCGCGGAAUUCCCAGUGUAGAGGUGAAAUUCGUAGAUAUCAGGAAGAAUACCAAUGGCGAAAGCAGCUCUCUGGGACGGUACUGACGCUGAGACGCGAAAGCGUGGGGAGCGAACAGG